CUUGGAUUUUCUGUUACCGAAAAAUGAAGACAAUCACAUAUUGAAAUGUCGGCGAUUAUAUCACAAGUGAAUGUCUCGGCGCAGGCGUGGCUCACGCGUCGAUACCGCGCCCCGCCCGCUGGCCCCUGCGACCCUCGCUCAUUCACACCCGCACACACGCACACCCCAUAUGCACAAAACUACAUACUACUACUAUCUACUCUAUACAAAAUCAGACAAAAGACUACUCUUUAUAAAAAAUAUUAAAAUUAAAAUACGCAAAACUAAA